rnacentral:lncRNA from 1 species
UACACCAGUCAGGAGCACAGGGAGAAGAAGCUGCAACAGCGCCCAUCCUUGGCUCUGUGCCCAAUGCCAGCGGACUUUGCAGGAACCACGGCAACACUCCCCUGCACCCUAUGGAGGAGCAUGGGGGUCAGAUCCAGCGCUUGGAGAGCACUGUCACAGAGCUCCAUUUGGAGAUGACCCUGAAGUAUGAAGACAAGCUGGAGCAGCUUGAGGAAGUGCACCACCUGGAGAACAGGAUCACGGAGCUGAGCAAGGAGGCAAGUAUAGAUGUUGUGCGCUUGAGCCCGAUCUGCCAACUUGCUGUUGUGAGGGGCCGCAGCUGUUCGGAUCAGAGAACCUUCCUGGGCCUCCAUCAUGCUGUGCCAGGUCUCAUCAUUCAGAGUUUUACCAGUGCUGUGGAAUACUGA